rnacentral:rRNA from 1 species
ACUCCUACGGGAGGCAGCAGUGGGGAAUAUUGGACAAUGGGGGCAACCCUGAUCCAGCCAUGCCGCGUGGGUGAAGAAGGCCUUCGGGUUGUAAAGCCCUUUUGUACGGGGCGAAAAGCGUACGGUGAACAUCCGUGCGUGCUGACGGUACCGUAAGAAUAAGCACCGGCUAACUUCGUGCCAGCAGCCGCGGUAAUACGAAGGGUGCAAGCGUUACUCGGAAUUACUGGGCGUAAAGCGUGCGUAGGUGGCGAGUUAAGUCUGAUGUGAAAUCCCCGGGCUCAACCUGGGAAUGGCAUUGGAUACUGGCUUGCUGGGGUGCGGUAGAGGGUGGUGGAAUUCCCGGUGUAGCAGUGAAAUGCGUAGAGAUCGGGAGGAACAUCCGUGGCGAAGGCGGCCACCUGGACCAGCACUGACACUGAGGCACGAAAGCGUGGGGAGCAAACAGGAUUAGAUACCCUGGUAGUCCACGCCCUAAACGAUGCGAACUGGACGUUGGUGGGAACUUGCCCAUCAGUGUCGAAGCUAACGCGUUAAGUUCGCCGCCUGGGGAGUACGGUCGCAAGACUGAAACUCAAAGGAAUUGACGGGGGCCCGCACAAGCGGUGGAGUAUGUGGUUCAAUUCGAUGCAACGCGCAGAACCUUACCUGGCCUUGACAUGCACGGAACCUUCCAGAGAUGGGAGGGUGCCUUCGGGAACCGUGACACAGGUGCUGCAUGGCUGUCGUCAGCUCGUGUCGUGAGAUGUUGGGUUAAGUCCCGCAACGAGCGCAACCCUUGUCCCUAGUUGCCAGCACGUAAAGGUGGGAACUCUAGGGAGACCGCCGGUGACAAACCGGAGGAAGGUGGGGAUGACGUCAAGUCCUCAUGGCCCUUACGGCCAGGGCUACACACGUACUACAAUGGUGGAUACAGAGGGUCGCCAAGCCGCGAGGCGGAGCCAAUCCCUGGAAAAUCCAUCUCAGUCCGGAUCGGAGUCUGCAACUCGACUCCGUGAAGUCGGAAUCGCUAGUAAUCGCGGAUCAGCAAUGCCGCGGUGAAUACGUUCCCGGGCCUUGUACACACCGCCCGUCACACCAUGGGAGUUUGUUGCACCAGAAGCAGGUAGCUCAACCGCAAGGGGGGCGCUUGCCACGGUGUGGCCGAUGACUGGGGUGAAGUCGUAACAAGGUAACC